GGUUAAGCGACUAAGCGUACACGGUGGAUGCCCUGGCAGUCAGAGGCGAUGAAGGACGUGCUAAUCUGCGAAAAGCGCCGGCGAGGUGAUAUGAACCCUUGACCCGGCGAUGUCCGAAUGGGGAAACCCAGUG
rnacentral:rRNA from 2 species